CCUACGGGAGGCUGCAGUGAGGAAUAUUGGUCAAUGGGCGAGAGCCUGAACCAGCCAAGUCGCGUGAAGGAUGACGGCCCUACGGGUUGUAAACUUCUUUUGUCAGGGAGCAAUAGGGUCCACUCGUGGGCUUAUCGAGAGUACCUGAAGAAAAAGCAUCGGCUAACUCCGUGCCAGCAGCCGCGGUAAUACGGAGGAUGCGAGCGUUAUCCGGAUUUGUUGGGUUUAAAGGGUGCGUAGGCGGAAUAUCAAGUCAGCGGUAAAAAUUCGGGGCUAAACCCCGUCGUGCCGUUGAAACUGAUGUUCUUGAGUGGACGAGAAGUAUGCGGAAUGCGUGGUGUAGCGGUGAAAUGCAUAGAUAUCACGCAGAACUCAGAUUGCGAAGGCAGAAUACCGGCGCCCAACUGACGCUGAAGCACGAAAGCGUGGGUAUCGAACAGGAUUAGAUACCCGAGUAGUC
rnacentral:rRNA from 1 species